rnacentral:rRNA from 1 species
AUAAUCCCACGGGGGGCAGCAGUGAGGAAUAUUGGUCAAUGGGCGCGAGCCUGAACCAGCCAAGUAGCGUGAAGGAUGACUGCCCUACGGGUUGUAAACUUCUUUUAUAAAGGAAUAAAGUGAGGCACGUGUGCCUUUUUGUAUGUAUUUUAUGAAUAAGGAUCGGCUAACUCCGUGCCAGCAGCCGCGGUAAUACGGAGGAUCCGAGCGUUAUCCGGAUUUAUUGGGUUUAAAGGGUGCGUAGGUGGUUAAUUAAGUCAGCGGUGAAAGUUUGUGGCUCAACCAUAAAAUUGCCGUUGAAACUG